rnacentral:tRNA from 1 species
GGUGGCUCAGUGGUAGAGCUCUUGCCUUGCAUGCAUGAGGCCCUGGGUUCGAUUCCUCAGCC